rnacentral:rRNA from 1 species
ACACGACCGUACCGCAAACCGACACUGGUGCGCGAGAUGAGUAUUCUAAGGCGCUUGAGAGAACUCAGGAGAAGGAACUCGGCAAAUUGACACCGUAACUUCGGAAGAAGGUGUGCCUUUAGUAGGUGAACCAUUUACUUGGGGAGCCCAAUGAGGCUGCAAAAAAUCGGUGGCUGCAACUGUUUAUUAAAAACACAGCACUCUGCUAAGACGAAAGUCGACGUAUAGGGUGUGACGCCUGCCCGGUGCUGGAAGAUUAAAUGAUGGGGUGCAAGCUCUUGAUUGAAGUCCCAGUAAACGGCGGCCGUAACAAUAACGGUCCUAAGGUAGCGAAAUUCCUUGUCGGGUAAGUUCCGACCUGCACGAAUGGCGUAAUGAUGGCCACACUGUCUCCUCCUGAGACUCAGCGAAGUUGAAAUGUUUGUGAUGAUGCAAUCUCCCCGCGGAAAGACGGAAAGACCCCAUGAACCUUUACUGUAGCUUUGUAUUGGACUUUGAACAGAUCUGUGUAGGAUAGGUGGGAGGCUUUGAAGUGUGGUCGCUAGAUCGCAUGGAGCCAACGUUGAAAUACCACCCUGGUGUGUUUGAGGUUCUAACCUAGGUCCAUUAUCUGGAUCGGGGACAGUGCAUGGUAGGCAGUUUGACUGGGGCGGUCUCCUCCCAAAGUGUAACGGAGGAGUUCGAAGGUACGCUAGGUACGGUCGGACAUCGUGCUAAUAGUGCAAUGGCAUAAGCGUGCUUAACUGCGAGACUGACAAGUCGAGCAGAUGCGAAAGCAGGACAUAGUGAUCCGGUGGUUCUGUAUGGAAGGGCCAUCGCUCAACGGAUAAAAGGUACUCUGGGGAUAACAGGCUGAUACCGCCCAAGAGUUCAUAUCGACGGCGGUGUUUGGCACCUCGAUGUCGGCUCAUCUCAUCCUGGGGCUGUAGCCGGUCCCAAGGGUAUGGCUGUUCGCCAUUUAAAGAGGUACGUGAGCUGGGUUUAAAACGUCGUGAGACAGUUUGGUCCCUAUCUUCCGUGGGCGCUGCAGAUUUGAGGAAGCCUGCUCCUAGUACGAGAGGACCGGAGUGGACGAACCUCUGGUGUAUCGGUUGUCACGCCAGUGGCAUUGCCGAGUAGCUAAGUUCGGAAGAGAUAACCGCUGAAAGCAUCUAAGCGGGAAACUCGUUUCAAGAUUAGAUCUGCCGGGGCCUUGAGCCCCCUAAAGAGUCGUUCAAGACCAGGACGUUGAUAGGUCAGGUGUGGAAGC